UGGCUUAACUACACAUUUGGUCCCUUACGUUUAUUUUAGGUUUCAAUUUGGUCCCUUACGUUUAAAAAGUAUCAAUUUGCUCCCUUACGUUUAUUUUAAGUUUCAAGUUAGUCAUUUCCGUUAGUUUUGUCACUAACACCGUUUGAACAGUACACGUGUCAGCGUGUCCAAGUGCCACGUGUCAGUCCACGUAUGCAAAUUGACUGCCACANN
rnacentral:lncRNA from 1 species